rnacentral:rRNA from 1 species
GUACACUCCUGCGGGGGGCAACAGUGGGGAAUAUUGGACAAUGGGCGCAAGCCUGAUCCAGCCAUGCCGCGUGAGUGAUGAAGGCCCUAGGGUUGUAAAGCUCUUUCACCGGUGAAGAUAAUGACGGUAACCGGAGAAGAAGCCCCGGCUAACUUCGUGCCAGCAGCCGCGGUAAUACGAAGGGGGCUAGCGUUGUUCGGAUUUACUGGGCGUAAAGCGCACGUAGGCGGACUAUUAAGUCAGGGGUGAAAUCCCGGGGCUCAACCCCGGAACUGCCUUUGAUACUGGGAGGCUUGAGUUCGAGAGAGGGGAGUGGAAUUCCGAGUGUAGCGGGGAAAUUCGUAGAUAUUCGGAGGAACACCAGUGGCGAAGGCGGCUCACUGGCUCGAUACUGACGCUGAGGUGCGAAAGCGUGGGGAGCAAACAGGAUUAGAUACCCCAGUAGUCCCAUG